rnacentral:rRNA from 1 species
AGAGUUUGAUCCUGGCUCAGAUUGAACGCUGGCGGCAGGCCUAACACAUGCAAGUCGAGCGGUCGAGAGAAGCUUGCUUCUCUUGAGAGCGGCGGACGGGUGAGUAAUACCUAGGAAUCUGCCUGAUAGUGGGGGAUAACGUUCGGAAACGGACGCUAAUACCGCAUACGUCCUACGGGAGAAAGCAGGGGACCUUCGGGCCUUGCGCUAUCAGAUGAGCCUAGGUCGGAUUAGCUAGUUGGUGAGGUAAUGGCUCACCAAGGCUACGAUCCGUAACUGGUCUGAGAGGAUGAUCAGUCACACUGGAACUGAGACACGGUCCAGACUCCUACGGGAGGCAGCAGUGGGGAAUAUUGGACAAUGGGCGAAAGCCUGAUCCAGCCAUGCCGCGUGUGUGAAGAAGGUCUUCGGAUUGUAAAGCACUUUAAGUUGGGAGGAAGGGCAGUUACCUAAUACGUGAUUGUCUUGACGUUACCGACAGAAUAAGCACCGGCUAACUCUGUGCCAGCAGCCGCGGUAAUACAGAGGGUGCAAGCGUUAAUCGGAAUUACUGGGCGUAAAGCGCGCGUAGGUGGUUUGUUAAGUUGAAUGUGAAAUCCCCGGGCUCAACCUGGGAACUGCAUCCAAAACUGGCAAGCUAGAGUAUGGUAGAGGGUAGUGGAAUUUCCUGUGUAGCGGUGAAAUGCGUAGAUAUAGGAAG